AGCUUUGCGCAGUGGUAGUAUCGUAGCCAAUGAGGUUUAUCCGAGGUGCGAUUGUUGCUAAUUGAAAACUGACAGAGCAGUAAAACUUUACAGAGUUCAGGAGUACUUAGCCCCAUAUAUUCUCUAUGGAAAUUUAAAUAGGAAUUAGUUUUAAAUAUAUCAUUAU
ensembl:snRNA LOC120098739 U4 spliceosomal RNA